UCGCGAAUCAUUCACAAUGGACGCAAGUCUGAUGAUGCCACGCCGCGUGCGGGAUGAAGGCCCUUUGGGUUGUAAACCGCUGUCAAGGGAGGGGAAACACCUAGUGUUAACAGCGCUAGGCUUGACUGCUCCCUAAAGGAAGCCCCGGCAAAACAUGUGCCAGCAGCCGCGGUAAUACAUGUGGGGCAAGCGUUGUUCGGAAUUACUGGGCAUAAAGGGUGCGUAGGCGGUUUGUUAAGUCACUGGUGAAAGUUUGCGGCCCAACCGUAAAAUUGCCUGUGAUACUGGCGAACUUGAGUGCGUGAGGGGUAGGGGGAACGAGCAGUGUAGCGGUGAAAUGCGUAGAUAUUGCUCGGAAGGCCGGAGCCGAAGGGGCCCUACUGGUACGUAACUGACGCUGAGGCACGAAAGCGUGGGGAGCAAACAGGAUUAGAUACCCCCGUAGUCCCUGAGCGGGCUGGCAAGGCGCAU
rnacentral:rRNA from 1 species